rnacentral:rRNA from 1 species
GGCAGUGCCGGUGACAUAUCAAUUAGAUGUCCGCCCCAUCAAUUGUUGACGGUAAGGUAGUGGCUUACCGUGGUUACAACGGGUAACGGGGAAUCAGGGUUCGAUUCCGGAGAGGGAGCAUGAGAAAUGGCUGCCAGAUCUAUGGAUUGCAGCAGGUGCGAAAAUUAUCCACUUUUGGCAUAAAGAGAUAGUGAUGAUAAAUAACGGAUCUGGGCAUUUGUUCAGAGAUCGUAAUGAAAUAAUCGUAAAAGCUUUAAUGAACGCAAUUGGAGGGCAAGUCUGGUGCCAGCAGCCGCGGCAAUUCCAGUUCCAAUAGUGUAUACUAAAGUUGCUGCAGUUGAAAAGCUCGUAGUUGGAUCUCGGCUUGCUAGCGCGCGAGGCGUGUGAGUAGGCCUUUGCUGUAGUUGAGUGCUACGGCUUUACCUUGAACAAAAUAGAGUGCUUAAGGCAAGCAUUCUGCUUGAAUAUCUCAGCAUGGAAUAAUAGAAAAAGACUUUUCUGUUGGUUUACCAGUAGUAAAAGUAAUGAUUAACAGAGACAGACGGGGGCAUUCGUAUCGCACCGCUAGAGGUGAAAUUCGUAGAUCGGUGCGGGACGAACUACAGCGAAAGCAUUUGCCAAGGAUGUUUUCAUUAAUCAAGAACGAAAGUUGGAGUAUCGAAGUCGAUUAGAUCUCGUCGUAGUUCCAACUAUAAACGAUGCCAACUAGCACUCCGCUAAUAAGUAUUAGUACGUUAGCGGGUUGCUUCCGGGAAACCAAAGUCUUUGGGCUCCGGGGGAAGUAUGGUUGCAAAGCUGAAACUUAAAGGAAUUGACGGAAGGGCACCACCAGGAGUGGAGCCUGCGGCUCAAUUUGACUCAACACAGAAAAACUCACCCGGGCCGAACACAGUAAGGAUUGACAGACUGAUAGCUUUUUCUUGAUACUGUGGGUAGUGGUGCAUGGCCGUUGUUGGUUGGUGGAGUGAUCUGUCUGGUUAAUUCCGAUAACGAACGAGACUCAGGCCUACUUACUAGUUGUUCGAUUGCUGGUCGAUCAACUUCUUAGAGGGAUCAGUGUUUAAAACACUUGAAAAUGAGCAAUAACAGGUCUGUGAUUGCCCUUAGACGUUCGGGGCUGCACGCGCGCUACAAUGGAGAAAGCAGUGGGUGUCUUGCUUGGCAAAGCAAGCUGAGCCUUAAAAUUUCUUCGUGACAGGGAUCGAGGCUUGUAAUUAUUCCUCGUGCACAAGGAAUUCCUAGUAAUCGCAGGUCAUUAGCCUGCAAUGAUUACGUCCCUGCCCUUUGUACACACCGCCCGUCGCUACUACCGAU